UGGGUGAUCUGCCCUGCACUUCGGGAUAAGCCUGGGAAACUGGGUCUAAUACCGGAUAUGACUGCGAAUCGCAUGGUUUGUGGUGGAAAGCUUUUGCGGUGUGGGAUGGGCCCGCGGCCUAUCAGCUUGUUGGUGAGGUUAUGGCUUACCAAGGCGACGACGGGUAGCCGGCCUGGAGGAGGGUGUCCCGGCCACACGUGGGACUGAGAUACCGGCCCAGACCUCCCGUACGGGAGNA
rnacentral:rRNA from 1 species